AUCUUCGGCCAUGCCACCCUGAACAACCUCGAUCCCAUCUGAUCUCGGAAGCUAAGCAGGGUUGGGCCUGGUUAGUACUUGGAUGGGAGACCACCUAGGAAGAUUUUUUAAAUAAAAAAU
rnacentral:rRNA from 1 species